CUUUGACAGCUGAGAGUGUCAGGCUUCUGCUGUGAUCGUGACUGGACCAAACAUUCACUUCUGGGUCUGACUGACCUCUAGGAGGAUCGGAUGCAAGAAGAGGUCAAACUGUACCCAUUAAAGUGGGCAGCAAAACAAACAAACAGUACCAAAGGGGUGCAGAGAGGAAGCUGAUGAGGCUGCAGAUCAAGAUGAUCAACACAAGAGAAUGAAGUUCAUGACUGCCGAUGAGGCCCGAGGGUGGGAGGGUGUUGAAUGUAGAUGAGGUGAUGAGGACGGGGUUCUUGGGUCUACGAUCGCUUUUUCCUGCUCUCAAAAUUUCUGAAGUUGGCCGGCCUGAUCUUCAUCUCUGCAAAUUCAAUUGAGUGUUCGUGGCCUUUCCAGUGGAACCAGUUGAUUCCCUGCAGAAAUACAGAAGACAAACCAUGGGAAAGAGCCUCACAAUAGAGAGAUCUCUAACACAUCAUCAUCUCUCUCUAAACCACACACCAUACCAUGUGUGGACAUGGAGGGGAUUCUCCAGGAAUAAAUCUGGUUUGUGUCUUCAUUACAACAAAAGGAUGAGAAGUAAACAGUUGCUUACACAUCAGAAACAUUGGAGAGUGUGGAACAUUUAAUGUAGAGCACUCAUUUUUGCUUGAAAAUGUAAAAAAAAAAAAGCUGUGUUUUGGGAAAUAGUGUGUAAAAUGUUAUAGCAAGUACUAAAAUAUAUACUCCCAUGAGUUGUGUGGCA